rnacentral:rRNA from 1 species
ACUCAAAGGAAUUGACGGGGGCCCGCACAAGCGGUGGAGCAUGUGGUUUAAUUCGAAGCAACGCGAAGAACCUUACCAGGGCUUGACAUCCCUUGACCACCUCAGAGAUGAGGUCUCUCUUCGGAGCAAGGAGACAGGUGGUGCAUGGUUGUCGUCAGCUCGUGUCGUGAGAUGUUGGGUUAAGUCCCGCAACGAGCGCAACCCUUGCUUUUAGUUGCCAUCAUUAAGUUGGGCACUCUAAAGGGACUGCCGGUGACAAACCGGAGGAAGGUGGGGAUGACGUCAAAUCAUCAUGCCCCUUAUGUCCUGGGCUACACACGUGCUACAAUGGUCUGUACAGAGGGAAGCUAAAGGGCGACCUGGAGCGGAUCCCACAAAACAGAUCUCAGUUCGGAUUGCAGGCUGCAACUCGCCUGUAUGAAGUCGGAAUCGCUAGUAAUCGCAGGUCAGCAUACUGCGGUGAAUACGUUCCCGGGCCUUGUACACACCGCCCGU